rnacentral:rRNA from 1 species
AACCUGGUUGAUCCUGCCAGUAGUCAUAUGCUUGUCUCAAAGAUUAAGCCAUGCAUGUCUAAGAAUAACCCCAGUAAGGGGUAGUCUGCGAAUGGCUCAUUAAAUCAGUUAUAGUUUAUUUGGAUGUGGGCUUGCUACACGGAUAACUGUGGCAAUUCUAGAGCUAAUACGUGCUAAGUCCCCAACUUCGCGGAAGGGGUGUAUGUGUUAGGUACUCAACUGGCUCGCUGGUUGAUUCAUAACAGCCUUAACUGACCGCAUAGCCUUGCGCUGGCGGCGUCGCAUUCAAAUUUCUGAUCUAUCAACUUGAAGGUAGGGUAGAGGCCUACCUUGGUUGUAACGGAUAACGGGGAAUUAGGGUUCGGUUCCGGAGAGGGCGCCUGAGAGAUGGCGACCACUUCCAAGGAAGGCAGCAGGCGCGCAAAUUACCCAAUGCUAAUACAGCGAGGUAGUGACAAUAAAUAACAAUGUCGGGGCCUCAAAGCCUCGGCAAUUGGAAUGAGCACAAUUUAAAUCCCUUAGCGAGGAACAACUAGAGGACAAGUCCGGUGCCAGCACCCGCGGUAAUUCCGGCUCUAGUAGCGUAUAUUAAAGUUGUUGCAGUUAAAAAGCUCGUAGUCUGACUUCGGGCUGGGCUGUGAAGGCUCACCGCAAGGUGGGACGGAUAGCCUGGCCUUACCCUCUGAUGUGCUCUCUGCUCUUAACUGAGUGGAUCUGUCGCACAGAGGCGUUUACCUUGAGCAAAUUGAGGUGUUCAAGGCAGGCAUAUAUGCUCGAACAAUGUAGCAUGGGAUAAUGGAAUACGGCCUCGGACUUGCUGUUGCCGGUUGGUGAGCCCGGGCAAUGAUCAACAGGGGCGGUCGGGGUGCUUCAUAUGCAGGCGCUAGAGGUGAAAUUCUUGGACCGUCUGCAGAUGCCCAGAUGCGAAAGCGUUGCACCAGUACGUCCCCAUUGAUCAAGAACGAAAGUUAAGGGAGCGAAGACGAUCAGAUACCGUCGUAGUCUUAACCCUAAACGAUACCGACCAGGGAUCGAGGAUAGUCCCAUGGUUGACUCCUUCGGAACCUUGUGGGAAACCACGAGUCUUUGGGUUCUGGGGGGAAUAUGGUCGCAAGGCUGAAACUUAAAGGAAUUGACGGAAGGGCACACCAGGAGUGGAACCUGCGGCUUAAUUUGACUCAACACGGGGAAACUCACUCGGUCAGGACAUAGUAAGGAUUGACAGGUUGACGGUCCUUUCUUGAUUCUAUGGGUGGUGGUGCAUGGUCGUUCUUAGUUCGUGGAGUGAUCUGUCUGGUUAAUUCCGCUAACGGACGAGACCUCUCCUUAUUAACUAGUGCGGUUCGCGGCCGUAAGGGUGAAGCAGUGGAGCUGGUUGGGGCUUCGGUGCUGACUGCUUAGCCGGGGAACCUGGCGUGCGGGCUGCUUACUUCUUAGGGGUACAAUCUGCGUUUUAGCAGAGGGGAGCUAGAGGCAAUAACAGGUCUGUGAUGCCCUUAGAUGUUCGAGGCUGCACGCGCGCUACAAUGGUAUGGUCAGCGAGUUCCUGGCUCGAAAGGGUCGGGGAAUCACAUGAAUCCAUAUCGUGCUGGGGAUAGAUGAUUGCAAUUAUUCGUCUUCAACGAGGAAUUCCUAGUAAGUGCACUUCAUCAGAGUGCGCUGAUUGCGUCCCUGCCCUUUGUACACACCGCCCGUCGCUCCUACCGAUUGAACGGUCCGGUGAAAUCUACGGAUAUUGGGACCUAAGGGGCAACCCUAAGUCUCGAUAGAAGUUGAGUAAACCUUACUGUUUAGAGGAAGGAGAAGUCGUAACAAGGUUUCCGUAGGUGAACCUGCAGAAGGAUCA